rnacentral:rRNA from 1 species
UACGUAGGUGGCUAGCGUUGUCCGGAUUUACUGGGCGUAAAGCGCGCGCAGGCGGUCGUUCAAGUCGAGUGUGAAAGCCCCCGGCUCAACUGGGGAGGGUCACUCGAUACUGAUCGACUUGAAGGCAGAAGAGGGAAGCGGAAUUCCCGGUGUAGUGGUGAAAUGCGUAGAUAUCGGGAGGAACACCAGUGGCGAAGGCGGCUUUCUGGUCUGUUCUUGACGCUGAGGCGCGAAAGCUAGGGUAGCAAACAGG